UAUCUGAGGCUCAGACUCUGCUGGAUGGAUGUAGCUUUAUCUGGGUCACCUAAAGCCAAUGUUAAAUCCACUCUGGCUUACCCCUCAGCCCAUGAGUGAGUUUGAAUAAGCCAAGGAGGCAGCGUGUGUUCACAGAUGUUAAAAGACCACGACCAAGUCACUCCCAAUUACAGUACAGUACUCACCAUCUACUUUAAAUCGUAUGAGACGAGCACAAGAAGCAGUGGAUAUAAUGACACUGUAAAUUUAAAGGUGCAAACGAGUCUCAUAUGAAGAGUCAAAGGAGGAGUGACAUCAUAACUGAGUCUGCAAAAGAACAGCUUAAUUCACUGAUCCAGAAGAUCUCACAGAUCAGAGUACAGUGAGUCGCUUCUAUAGGAUACUGAGAGCUUGAAAAGAAAAGCUAUAGAUGAAGGAGUAAUUAGCAUGAGGAAUGGUGGGAUGAAGCAAUGCAUUUAAAGAACACACGGCUGAAAAGUGAUUAUGAG